UACGUAGGGUGCAAGCGUUAAUCGGAAUUACUGGGCGUAAAGCGUGCGCAGGCGGUUCUAUAAGACAGAUGUGAAAUCCCCGGGCUCAACCUGGGAACUGCAUUUGUGACUGUAGAGCUGGAGUGCGGCAGAGGGGAUGGAAUUCCGCGUGUAGCAGUGAAAUGCGUAGAUAUGCGGAGGAACACCGAUGGCGAAGGCAAUCCCCUGGGCCUGCACUGACGCUCGAGCGACGAAAGCGUGGGGAGCAAACAGG
rnacentral:rRNA from 1 species